GACGCUUGUGGAAUGAGCGGCGGACGGGUGAGUAACACGUGGGCAACCUGCCUGUAAGACUGGGAUAACCCCGGGAAACCGGGGCUAAUACCGGAUAAUACUUUCUUUUGCAUAAAGGAAAGUUGAAAGGCGGCUUCGGCUGUCACUUACAGAUGGGCCCGCGGCGCAUUAGCUAGUUGGUGAGGUAACGGCUCACCAAGGCGACGAUGCGUAGCCGACCUGAGAGGGUGAUCGGCCACACUGGGACUGAGACACGGCCCAGACUCCUACGGGAGGCAGCAGUAGGGAAUCUUCCGCAAUGGACGAAAGUCUGACGGAGCAACGCCGCGUGAGUGAUGAAGGUUUUCGGAUCGUAAAACUCUGUUGUUAGGGAAGAACAAGUUGGGUAGUAACUGACCCAACCUUGACGGUACCUAACCAGAAAGCCACGGCUAACUACGUGCCAGCAGCCGCGGUAAUACGUAGGUGGCAAGCGUUGUCCGGAAUUAUUGGGCGUAAAGCGCUCGCAGGCGGUCCUUUAAGUCUGAUGUGAAAUCUCGCGGCUCAACCGCGAACGGUCAUUGGAAACUGGAGGACUUGAGUACAGAAGAGGAGAGUGGAAUUCCACGUGUAGCGGUGAAAUGCGUAGAGAUGUGGAGGAACACCAGUGGCGAAGGCGACUCUCUGGUCUGUAACUGACGCUGAGGAGCGAAAGCGUGGG
rnacentral:rRNA from 1 species